AUGACGACACCGGGAGAGGCCGCUUUGACGAGCGGAGCCGAAGGGGAGCGCAAAAUCUCUCAGGCAAAAGGACCGGCGUCUGACA
rnacentral:ncRNA from 1 species